CAUUUCCUAGCCAGGAGGGGGUCUAAAUUCUUUGUGCUGUUCAUAUGCUGAGUAUGCUCAGAUCAAGCAGCUCAGGCAUUUUGUGGCAGAAAAACAAAUGUUACGCCCUCUUCUACAUGCACAUACUGUAUGUCAAAAUAUCUUGCCAGCUAAGUUAUGUUGUCAUACGGUGGAGCAGGACAACGAAACCAAACAAAAGAGAAUCCUACAAACCAAUUCCCAUCUGGAGCGGUGAAAAUAAUAGAAAUAUUCAGUAAGGAGACCCUUGCAUUAUCACUUUUCAUGAUCCAUUCAGUAUCAUUUGACUAAGUUUGCAGCAGUAAGACCUUACAUGGGUUUGGGAAAGAGGCAGAAAGUAAUUUUUUGCUAAAGAAGAACCUCCUAGAAAGAUGGUGUUUGAAGGAAAUGGCACAGGAAAUUGCAGUAGAUAAGAUGGGAGUCUUGAGCAGAACAAGAUAUGGCAAUUAUUUUCAAAAUGGUAGCCACGUGGCAAAUGGUUAGGACCAUAACGAAUGCAAAAGAACCCGUCCCUCAGGUAAUUUCUUUCCAUGUUACAUGUAGACAGUGUGUUUUCUUCAGGGUUGCAAUAUAUAGGGAAAUGAUGCUUCCCAUUUCUUCUAAGGGGUUUUAUUUUGGAAGUUUAAAUAACAGGAGACAUGAAAUGUAUCAAUGCAUUCUGUUAUCAUGGUUCAUGUGGGCCUCAUGUAAUACCCAAGAUAUUUUGUUGUGACUGCGCCUUCGGGGAUUAUGGUUGAUGGUGAUGGGAUUCGAAGAGGAAGAAAAAACCCUCAUGAUGAGGGUUCACUGGAGGAGUUGCGCAGGAAGCGACUUAGAGAGCUUAAUGGGGGAUCUUCUGAGGAAGAUUCAGAUGGGGAGUUUGGGGAAAUGGAUGCUGAGGAACAGGUGGUGGCUGGGGAAGUGGGCACUGAAUGGGCACAGCCACCGGAGAUGUCUGGGGAUUUGGGGCCUAUGGAUACUGCUGAACCUGGGGUUUCUGCAGGAGCAGAUCCCACUUGGGAUGCUUGGAGAAGGGAGGAUGGUUCUUUAAGUGUUCAUGGGGCUAAAUGUGGGCAGGAUGAUUGGGACUCCGACGAACUGUUAGGCACUCCUGAUCCACGAGCCCUAGCUGUGUGGAGUUCGGACUCUGAGUAGAUUUGGGACACCUGGUGUUUGGGUGUGAGUGUUUGGUCACCCAAGAGGAAGGGGAAUAAAAUGUGAAUGUUUGGCCACUGCACUUUGCGUGUGGCAAGGUGUUGCUGAGGCGCCAUUGGGAUCUCUGUGCUUUCGUGAAGACUGGACUUGGACUGUGAUUCGGAUCUGCUGAUACCAUCGUUGCUUGGCUCUUUGUGCCUUUUCGUGGACCUGGUUUGGAUGACUGCACCCUCUUCGGACUCUGGAUUGGAAUUUGACCUGGCUUCUGUCUUCGCCCUCUGACUGACGACUACUCCCGGCUUCUGACUACUGGUUUGCCUUUCGGAAUUUGCUGCUGCCUCCUGACCUGACCUUGGAUUCUCCUGACGACGGCUAUUCAUCAUCCCUUUGAAGCUCUCGGCUUUAUCUGCACCGUGGAAGCAGUUUACUGCACUUCUAGUUUG